rnacentral:tRNA from 1 species
UCCCUGGUGGCUCAAUGGUAAAGCAUUUGCCUGCCAGUGCAGAAAACAGGGGUUCAAUCCCCGAUCCGGGAG